UUACUCCUACGGGAGGCAGCAGUGGGGAAUAUUGCACAAUGGAGGGAACUCUGAUGCAGCGACGCCGCGUGAGCGAUGAAGGUCUUCGGAUCGUAAAGCUCUGUCCUAAGGGACGAUAAUGACGGUACCUUAGGAGGAAGCCCCGGCUAACUACGUGCCAGCAGCCGCGGUAAUAA
rnacentral:rRNA from 1 species